rnacentral:misc_RNA from 1 species
AUAUCCAACAAAUUUUACGAAUUAGAAAAAGAGAACUAGAAGAUUGUAAGGACUAAUGUAUGUUGCGAGUGAAGUCAUAGUUUGAUAUGAUUGUUCAACUGAAAGUAGAGCUUGAUGAGUUGUUAAAGAUACAAGGCAAGAGCAACAAGAGCAGCUUGAGUUCGAAAAGCAAUCUGAAGAUGAAGAACAAGAACAAUUAGAAGCUAAAAUUGAAGAAUUUGAGCUUGAAGAACCCAAAACUUUGGUUAUCAAGUCUUCACAUGUUGAAGAAUUAGUUCUAGAAACACUUGUUGAAGAACUUGUUCUAGAAAAAGAAGCUA